rnacentral:miRNA from 1 species
UAAGAACUAGACGGGCCAGCU